AGACGAUGUCGCUGACAAUCCUUUUGUCACCAACUGAUAAAAAAAUCCUUAAAAAUAAAGUUUAUUAAUUUAUUAAUUAACGUCUGCAUCCUGGAGCCGUGAAACCAAACUUAGCAGGUAGGACUAUGGGGACAAACCAACAGUAGGUCUGUGUGGCGCAGCUCAAUGCCGGUGAGCUCAUACUGCAGCAACAAAGGGAAGGGGCGGGCGAGAGAGGGUCGUAGAAAGUGAAUGGAGAGAGAGGAGAGAAAAAGUAGGAGGACGAGAACGGUAGACGGGAAUGGGGAGUGAAAAGAACCGAGCGAAGCUUUGAGGUGGGAGGGAAACACUGAAAGGACGGAAGACAAAUAAAAGGGAUGUGAUCACAGAAAAGAAAGUGUGAGGCAGGAGAGAGGAGGAGGAAAAUGGAGGCAGGAGAAGGACACAAGCGAGAGAAUGAAAAAAGGAGACAUCAAAGUGAAAGGAGUACCGUAAUAUUGAGAAAAGAGACCCACGGUUCACCAGUUCCCUCAAACCACUCACUAUGUGACGCUGUCUGUCAUUAAGAGUCUGCAACAAGUGGCUGCAUAGCGGGGCGCGGCCACUACGGACUCCAGCGAGGCCUCCACGGGUCACGUGCUUCACGGGCCAACACCCGGUACUUUGACCGGAUAAUGGUUACUCUCACCUGCCAGGAUGGCUUUGUGCGCCUGCAGCUUCUGUCCAGCGACACACAGCGAGCAGCCGGUGAGUCUGGAGUUUUCCCACAGAUCUUCUCUCCUCCUCGGCCGGCCCGCCGCUCAGGAACCUUCACCGGGUCCGUUGGGUUCUGGCCUGAGAGGUUCACGGAGUCCUGAGAACAUACACACUUAUUGUCUCAGCCAGGAGGAUUGUGCGCUGCUCCUCUAUGAGUCCAUGAGUGAGCGUGCCCUUCCGUGCUUACCCAGCGUUCUGCUGCAUCAUUUUUUGGGAUGCUGCACGUCCAUGUUGGCAUUAACUCCCGCUUUCUAAAAACACCUUUUAUUGCCUGCAUCGUACUGUCAAUAGCUGCCUGCGG
ensembl:lncRNA